UACGUAGGGACCUAGCGUUGUCCGGAAUCAUUGGGCGUAAAGCGCGUGUAGGCGGCUCGGUAAGUCUGCUGUGAAAGUCCAGGGCUCAACCCUGGGAUGCCGGUGGAUACUGUCGAGCUCGAGUCCGGAAGAGGCGAGUGGAAUUCCUGGUGUAGCGGUGAAAUGCGCAGAUAUCGAGAGGAACACCGGUGGCGAAGGCGGCCUUCUGGACAGUGACUGACGCUGAGACGCGAAAGCGUGGGGAGCAAACAGG
rnacentral:rRNA from 1 species